rnacentral:lncRNA from 1 species
AAGAGAAGAGAGAGAGACAGAUUCACAUAUGAUGCUCCGACCGCUGCCAACUUUUGAGUUUGCGGCAAUGUUCGAUCUCGCGUUCUCCACCACCGCUCAUCCGCUAUCCACCUCAUAUUCCGGUUCCUUCAAAUCAAUCAUCUUAUCCUCUUCUGUCGCCUCUUCCACCACUCUUACAAAAUCCUCCAUGCUUAGCAGUUUGUCACCGCCCGAAUUCAUCAACUCCAUCGUUGUCUCCUCCUUUGUCAUCUCCCCGACUAUCGUCCACAUCGAUACAACUCCGUCGGACACACCUUCCGCCGAGUACCGCUGCAGCUUCCCCGAUCUCCAGAGAGAGAGAUAAGAAGAGUUUAUUGAAAAAUUAAUGGUAGGGGCA